CAGCAAUGCACGAAUUUCGUUUUUGUGAGGAUGUGAGCGACCAAAGCUAUCCGGAAGUCAACAUCGACAUGCCUUUCAACUAAGCUUUAACACCAAUUUACGUUGUCUAUAAGUGUCUAUGUGACAGUUUUGGUGUUCAGCUAGCAAUUUGUCAUGGCCACCAAUGUGCAGAUAAAAGGCAAAGCUUCAAAGUUUGACUGUCUCAUCUGUAGCAGGAAUCUGUCUUCAAGGCAGUGACUUGAGACACAUAUGCAGGCAAAUCAUAACAGAAGUUCAGUGGAGUCUAGCUACAAAUGCAAACACUUUUUGAACAGGAUGCUUAAGUGUAGAAGCAAGUGGUCAACAGCAAAAGAAAUGGUGUCUUGUAAAGUUGCAGGAAGACUCUUACCAGUCUCACCAGAUGAAUGCUGUGAAGGUCUUCUGCAGUCAACAAACUCAACUUCUGCAUUGGAUUUAAAAAAGUGUUUUCGUGUUGAAAUUAAUGGACAAAAGUACUUCAGUCAGGCAUAUCAGCGAAUGAAAAAAAGAACUUGUUAUUUUGUGGUUUGUCAUUCAGGUGAAGUAGUUUCAGUCAAGUUUUUUGUUGUUAACAAAGAAAAGAAAGUGUUUGCUGUCGUGAAAGUAUAUGAAAUACCUGAUGACUGUUACAUCCUUAGAUCUAGUGGCAGACAUAUAUUUAAAGUUGUAUCAACUGAAUGUCUGAAAACAAUUCAUGUGUCUGAGAUCAUGGAUAAACUUUUCUAUAUAGCUAUGCUGUAUAUGUUGUAUGUAUGCCGAACAUUCUAGGCAGAAGUGUGUUUGAGUAAAGUACAAACAGUCCACACAAAUGCCCCCCUAUCCAGUGGUUAGACCAAUAAAAUACUUUUCAUUAAAAAGAGUACUCUAGCAAAUUAGUAUUGAUUAGUGUAUUUCAGAAAAUAACCGGACAAUAUAUAUGGUUAUAAUUAGUCCCCUACUGUGAAACCGGAAGAAACUAUAGGUUUACCGUCCGUCUGUCCAUCUGUCCAUCAGCGAAAAAGAAGUGGAUUAUGCGAUUACUCAAAAAGUAUAUAAGCUAAGUUCAUGAAACUUGGUGUGUAGUUACAGGACGAUAUGUAGAUUAUGCACAUCAUUUUAUUUUUUCAGUCGGACUAAAAUUAUUGGUUGCUAUGAUAACAGAAAUUCCGUCUGUCCUUCAGCGAAAAAAAGUGGAUUACGCGAUUACUCAUAAAAAAGGGUCCUAGCAGUAUCUAUGACAGCACAGGCCCAAAUCAGCCUUUGGGGCACAAGAUACAUAUGUACAGUUCAUGAGAUAAAAUUUUAACGCUUUUGUAUGCUACACAUUUAUAUGAUCAUGCUUAAAUCUGCACAUACAGUUAUUACAAUAAAAAUUAUCUCAAAGCAGGUGGAUCUUUAGAAAUUCUGUUCAGUAUAAAUUUUAUGAGAAGUUCAUGCCAGAUAUAUUUUCUGCUUGUUUUAAGUGCGUAAAAAAUCUUUGUUUCUGACCAUGGUCUGUAUCCUUUCCAACCAAGGUUUACAUACAUAAUGUCUGUGUCAGUUUGUUUUUAACCAUGGUUGUAAUUUUUCACCCUGGUAACAAAGUUGACCAUGGUCAGUCAUAUCUCAACCAUGGUCUACAUCAGUUGACCAUGGUGGCCUUUUUUUCAACCAUUGUUUGACCAUAGUCAACCAUGUCAAAAUUUCUGGUCCAACCAUGGUCAAACCUGGAAUGGCUAUGCUGAACCAUGGUUGAACAUGGUCACAUUUCGCAGGGGGUUGUCACUCAUUGUCUGCGUUAACGCGUGUUAGUUAAGUUUUUCGGUUAAGUUUUUUAAAAUCAACAUAUCUCCAGGUUAAGUUUUUCAAACAGACCUUGGUCAAAGUUUGAAGUGGUUAGGCGCUUGACUGUCAAUCAAGAGGUCGUGCCAACCUCUGCGGCGAUUACUUCCCCUUGCGAUACAGUAACUAAUGAACGCCAGGGAAGGUAACUGCUGCGAGUAGCUUGGAGGUCAUGAGGUUGUAUCACGCCUUUGGCGCUUGAAAUUUGAAAUUAAUAGUACAUGCUUAAAGACUUGUGUAAAUAAAAGAUCAGAGCAGAAAAUAAAAUAUGAAAACCGU
rnacentral:lncRNA from 1 species